CACACGACUCUCGGCAACGGAUAUCUCGGCUCUCGCAUCGAUGAAGAACGUAGCGAAAUGCGAUACCUGGUGUGAAUUGCAGAAUCCCGCGAACCAUCGAGUCUUUGAACGCAAGUUGCGCCCGAGGCCACUCGGCCGAGGGCAUGCCUGCCUGGGCGUCACGC
rnacentral:rRNA from 1 species